rfam:Diaporthe ampelina DA_912_scaffold_v01_130, whole genome shotgun sequence.
UCCGAUAUGGUGUAGUGGCCAACAUUCCGCGUUUUCAUAUCGAGAUCCGCGGCGCCCGGGGUUCGAUUCCCCGUAUCGGAG